rnacentral:rRNA from 1 species
GACGAACCGUGCGAACGUUGUUCGGAAUCACUGGGCUUAAAGGGCGCGUAGGCGGGCUCGCAAGUCAGGGGUGAAAGCCCACGGCUCAACCGUGGAAGUGCCUUUGAUACUGCGGGCCUUGAGGGAGGUAGGGGCGUGCGGAACUUCCGGUGGAGCGGUGAAAUGCGUAGAUAUCGGAAGGAACACCGGUGGCGAAAGCGGCGCGCUGGACCUCUACUGACGCUGAGGCGCGAAAGCCAGGGGAGCAAACGGG